AGUUUCCUGCCGUGCUCGUGAUCGGGAGAGAUUUUUUAGAGCCAACACACAUGAAAAGGGAACCUUCCUUUGCUUCUGUGAGCAUGUUCUUCAUAGAAAAGCCUAAGGAAGCAAAAAGGCGCCUAAUUUUUAAACGGGCCCUAAAAGCCUGCUGACACGGCACUGAGGCGGGGAAAGC
rnacentral:other from 1 species